GUUAAAUUAUUAAUAAUUUAUUUUUAUAUUUUAUAUUAAAAAUAAUUAUUAUGUUUUAGUAUUAAUUAGAAAUAAUUCUUUUAAGUUACUGUAAAGGUUAAAUAAAUAUAACUUUAUUAAGCAUAAUUAAUUUUGUACCUUUUGUAUCAGGUUAAAUUAAUAAUUAUUAUAAAUAUAUGUAUCCCGAAAAAAAAUGAUUUAAGUUUAAAUUGUUAUUUACUGUUGUAUAAAUAUUAAUAAAUAUAACUUAGAAAUGAAAAUUUAACGAAUUUUUUGAUAUCUGGUUUUUCAAGAAAUAAAUUUAAUUUAGGAAUAGUGAAUAAAGUGUUUUUAUAUAUUAAUAACAUUGAAUUCUUCUAAAUAUGGAGGGGAUAAAUUCUUCAUAAUAUCUAUAAUUUUUUUUUAUAAAACAUUUAAUAAGCUUAAAAACAGCUUUUUUUAAGAUUAAGUUAAAUUUCAAUUUGUUAAUUAUAUUAAAUUAAAUUAUUUUUAGGUACCUAUUGAAAAUUAAUUUUUAAUAAGUUAUUUUAAUUAUGAUGAUUUAAUUAGUAAAAUUUAAUAAAAUAAUUAAUAUGAAUUCGGCAAAUUUAAUUUCCGCCUGUUUAUCAAAAACAUGUCUUUUAGAUUUAUAUUAAAAGUUUAAUCUGCCCAAUGAUUCUUGAAUGGCCGCGGUAAACUGACCGUGCAAAGGUAGCAUAAUAAUUAGUCUUUUAAUUGAAGGCUUGAAUGAAUGAUUGAACGAGAAUUUAACUUUAUUUUAAUUAAUAUUUAAAUUUGAUUUUUAAGUAAAAAAGCUUAAAUAAGUGUGUGGGACGAGAAGACCCUAUAGAGCUUAAAAAAGUUAUUAAUUAAUUAAUUUUAGGUUUUUAUUAUUAAAUAAAUUAAUUUUUUUUUUAUGUUGGGGUGACAUUGAAAUAAUAUUAACUUUCAAUUAAUUUUUCAUUAAUUUAUGUUUUAUUGAUCCUAUUUUUAAGAUUAAAAGAUCAAGUUACCUUAGGGAUAACAGCGUAAUUAAAUUGAAGAGUUCAAAUCGAUAAUUUAGUUUGCGACCUCGAUGUUGGAUUAAGAAAAGGUUUUGGAGCAAAUUUUAUUAAAGCUUGGUCUGUUCGACCAUUAAAUUCUUACAUGAUCUGAGUUCAGACCGGCGUAAGCCAGGUUGGUUUCUAUCUACAUUUAAUUUUUUAAUAUUAGUACGAAAGGACCAUAUUAAAUAAUAUUAUUAU
rnacentral:rRNA from 1 species